AGAGAUGUGUGAUGACGCAUAUCAAUAAGCGGAGGAAAAGAAACUAACUAAGGAUUCCCUCAGUAACGGCGAGUGAAGCGGGAAGAGCUCAAAUUUGAAAUCUUCAAGGUUCUACCUUGACGAAUUGUAGUUUAUAGAAGUGUUUUCAGUUAGUAGAGUGGCAAAAGUUCUUUGGAAUAGGACAUCAUAGAGGGUGAGAAUCCCGUAUUUGGUCAUUCUCCUAGCUUUGUGAUACACUUUCAACGAGUCGGAUUGUUUGGGAAUGCAGUCCAAAAUGGGUGGUAAAUUUCAUCUAAAGCUAAAUAUUGGCGAGAGACCGAUAGCGAACAAGUACCGUUAGGGAAAGAUGAAAAGAACUUUGAAAAGAGAGUUAAACAGUACGUGGAAAUUGUCAAAAGGGAAGCGUUUGACACCAGUGUUGUUUUUCCGAAAAUCAAUUACGAAUGUUUUGUUUUUGAGAAGUUAUGACUUCAUCGGCUUGCUUCUCUCUUCACGAAACUUUCUUAAUGCACUUUUCGGUUAACAAGUCAACAUCAAUUUCUUUUGUUGUAAAAGGGUAUGAGGAAGGUGGCUUUCUUUUCGGAGAAAGUGUUUAUAGCCUUGUACCUCUGCAAUCGGAGAGAUUGAGGUCUGCAGCGUAGAUCCUUCGGGGUUAGAUACGUUUGUGCUAAGUUAUAGCUUUUCAUAGACAACUUGUUGACUAUGUUAGUCUUGUAGCUUACUCGCUGAUGCUAUUUUACCUACGCUUAGGAUGUUGAAGAUGUAGCACAUCAU
rnacentral:rRNA from 1 species